rnacentral:rRNA from 1 species
CGAAGGGGCUAGCGUUGCUCGGAUUUACUGGGCGUAAAGGGCGCGUAGGCGGACAUUUAAGUCAGGGGUGAAAUCCCGGGGGCUCAACCUCGGAACUGCCUUUGAUACUGGGGUGUCUUGAGUAUGAGAGAGGUGUGUGGAACUCCGAGUGUAGAGGUGAAAUUCGUAGAUAUUCGGAAGAACACCAGUGGCGAAGGCGACACACUGGCUCAUUACUGACGCUGAGGCGCGAAAAGCGUGGGGGAGCAAACAGGAUU